CUCCUCUCAGGAUCGCACCUGGAGAGUUUCCAGUUCUCUAUCAGUCUCUGUUGCUGGAGGGAGAGUCAAGCAGAGGCAUACCCAUUCCAUUCCUAGCUUGGGUAGUGGCCAGCGAGUGGAAGGUAAUCUGCUACAAGU